GUAUGCAAGUCCCCUUGCAAUCCCCAUCGCGAUACUUGUCCUCUGACUCCAAGUAGGUUUCAGAUCACCAAAAAUGAAACUUGCAAGAGUGCCAUUACUCAUAUACUCGUAAACCAACAAACGAUGAGGUCCCUCAUUACAAUAUCCAAUCAGGCGGACCAAGUUCUUGUGAUGAGUCUGACUAAUCACAUUUACUUCAGUCAUGAAAUCUUUCUCUGCCUCAUGAGCAACUCUAUCCAGCUUCUUUAUUGCGACUACGUUUCUUGAACCGAUAGACAUUACCCCUUUGUAAACAAUCCCAAAUGCACCCCUG